UUUUUCGAGUAGGAACUAGCUUCCAGAUUUCACCUUCUUUCCUCUCACGAUCUGAUUCUUAUUAUGAGUAAGGGCUUCAUCUCACUUCACUCUUAUAUGACUGCAAGAUUUUCACUGUAGUCUUAAAAAGAAAUGGACUAAAACCAGGAAAGGCUUUGAAUGUGGAAUAUAUUGAAUUGGGCAUGCUUGAAGUUGUGCAUUUGAGAGCAUCUCUCAGGAGCAAGCUGGCUUUCAGGUGGAAAAUGAAUGCCUUAAAAAUUAGUGAAAACUCAGCAUUGAUAUUUCCUUGUUCCUUCUUGAUGUAGAUAAUUUCUACAGCCAUGUCAAGAAUGAAAUGCAAUUUCAUAUUGUGUGCCCGUGUGAAGAGAGGUCUAUUUUUGAGAAGAUCCAUAAUCAAAAGGUUAGACGAUAACUUGAUAGGUUAAAAAAUGCUGAAUACAUUAAAUAUUUCUUCAGUUACAAAUAUGGAAUUUGCCUUUGGAAAAUGUUAGAUUUUAAAACAGC